UGUGUGUAUGUGCACCACAAGAGCCCAC
rnacentral:sRNA from 1 species